rnacentral:rRNA from 1 species
AGUGAACGCUGGCGGUAGGCCUAACACAUGCCAGUCGAACGGCAGCACAGUAAGAGCUUGCUCUUACGGGUGGCGAGUGGCGGACGGGUGAGGAAUACAUCGGAAUCUACUUUUUCGUGGGGGAUAACGUAGGGAAACUUACGCUAAUACCGCAUACGACCUACGGGUGAAAGCAGGGGAUCUUCGGACCUUGCGCGAUUGAAUGAGCCGCUGUCGGAUUAGCUAGUUGGCGGGGUAAAGGCCCACCAAGGCGACGAUCCGUAGCUGGUCUGAGAGGAUGAUCAGCCACACUGGAACUGAGACACGGUCCAGACUCCUACGGGAGGCAGCAGUGGGGAAUAUUGGACAAUGGGCGCAAGCCUGAUCCAGCCAUACCGCGUGUGUGAAGAAGGCCUUCGGGUUGUAAAGCCCUUUUGUUGGGAAAGAAAAGCAGCAGGUUAAUACCCCGCUGUUCUGACGGUACCCAAAGAAUAAGCACCGGCUAACUUCGUG